rnacentral:rRNA from 1 species
AGAACGAACGCUGGCGGCAGGCUUAACACAUGCAAGUCGAGCGCCCCGCAAGGGGGAGCGGCAGACGGGUGAGUAACGCGUGGGAAUCUACCCAGUGGUACGGAACAACCCAGGGAAACUUGGGCUAAUACCGUAUAAGUCCUUCGGGAGAAAGAUUUAUCGCCAUUGGAUGAGCCCGCGUCGGAUUAGCUAGUUGGUGGGGUAACGCCCACAAGGCGACGAUCCGUAGCUGGUCUGAGAGGAUGAUCAGCCACACUGGGACUGAGACACGGCCCAGACUCCUACGGGAGGCAGCAGUGGGGAAUAUUGGACAAUGGGCGCAAGCCUGAUCCAACCAUGCCGCGUGAGUGAUGAAGGCCUUAGGGUGUAAAGCUCUUUCGGCGGGAAGAUAAUGACGGUACCGCGAGAAGAAGCCCCGCUAACUUCGUGCCAGCAGCCGC